CCUUUAGAGUUUUGGAUCCUGGCUCAGAUUGAACGCUGGCGGCAGGCCUAACACAUGCAAGUCGAACGGUAACAUGAACUAGCUUGCUAGUUUGAUGACGAGUGGCGGACGGGUGAGUAAUGCUUGGGAAUUUGCCUUUAGGUGGGGGACAACAGUUGGAAACGACUGCUAAUACCGCAUGAUAGCUACGGCUCAAAGGGGGCUUCGGCUCUCGCCUUUAGAGAAGCCCAAGUGGGAUUAGGUAGUUGGUGAGGUAAAGGCUCACCAAGCCGACGAUCCCUAGCUGGUCUGAGAGGAUGAUCAGCCACACUGGAACUGAGACACGGUCCAGACUCCUACGGGAGGCAGCAGUGGGGAAUAUUGCACAAUGGGCGCAAGCCUGAUGCAGCCAUGCCGCGUGUGUGAAGAAGGCCUUCGGGUUGUAAAGCACUUUCAGCGAGGAGGAAAGGUUAGUAGUUAAUACCCUGCUAGGCUGUGACGUACU
rnacentral:rRNA from 1 species